UCCCGGCGGUCCAAGUCGCAUCCACAAUUAUUGGGUCUAAAACAUCCGUAGCUUGUUUUGUAAGUCUCUUGUGAAAUUUCAUAUCUCAAGUAUGAAGCGUGCAAGAGAUACUACAUUGCUAGAGACUGGAAGACGCAAAGAGUACGUAGGAGGUAGCGGUAAAAUGUGUUAAUCUUCUUCGGACUAACAAUGGCGAAGGCACUUUGCGAGUACAGAUCUGACAGUGAGGGAUGAAGGCUAGGGGCGCAAAAGG
rnacentral:rRNA from 1 species